GGCCUGUUGGCGGGGUAGCUAUUUAGAGAGGGGGCCGUAGAAGUGAUAAGUGUCUCGUCGGGGGGUAUAGCUGUGUGUCAGGGGUGUUUUAUCAGUAGAGCGAGCAGGCGAAGAGGUCUGCUCGCCAUUUAUACUUUUAGUGCCGGAAUAAACGGCUAGGGUUGAAGUUACCUGUGCCUAGUAAGUGUGUUGUUCCUUAGGUGAUACGGGUUGGGUGUUAAGGCUGAUACCUGAGUUYGUAACUUUUYAUAGAUUCAUGGKUUAAUAAGUAAUUAUAUCGGUUGUAAUUUUUCUCGAGAACAUUCCGACUGUUUAUUAAAAACAUUUCUCUGUGUUAGGCGUACAGAGUAGAACCUGCCCGGUGCGCCGUAAACGGCCGCAGUAUUAUGACUGUGCGAAGGUAGCAUAAUUAAUUGCCCCAUAAUUGGGGGCUUGUUUGAACGGUUUAACGCGGUUGUAUCGAAAAUUAUGACCAACGGUGAAAUUAAUUUUACGGGUGCAGAAUCCGUAAAAUGUAAUAAGACGGAAAGACCCCAGGAUCUUUYUUUUUUGUCUGGGGCAGAUCUCGUUUAUUUAAUGAGUUUAUGACCCGAUGACUGGAGGGUUAAGUUACCCUGGGGAUAACAGGGUCAUGGCCCAGUAGAGAUCAUAU
rnacentral:rRNA from 1 species